UACGUAGGGGGCAAGCGUUGUCCGGAUUUAUUGGGCGUAAAGAGCGUGUAGGCGGCCAGGUAGGUCCGCUGUGAAACUCGAGGCUCAACCUCGAGAUGUCGGCGGAAACCAUCUGGCUAGAGUCCGGAAGAGGAGAGUGGAAUUCCUGGUGUAGCGGUGAAAUGCGCAGAUAUCAGGAAGAACACCCGUGGCGAAGGCGGGCUCUCUGGGACGGUACUGACGCUGAGACGCGAAAGCGUGGGAGCGAACAGG
rnacentral:rRNA from 1 species